UUCACUUCAGAUUUGAAAUUAAAAAAAAUGUUGAGAGAAAGAGAAGUUUCGGGAGGGAAAUUCAACGAAAUCAACUGGAAUCAAAUAACUGAAAACAUUGAGUCUUUUGUAAUCCUACUCCGAGUUUUGCUGUGGACUUCUGCAUGAGCAUGGCGUUUGGUUUUCCAUUAAAAGCUUCUUCAUUUCUGAAUUUGUUUUGCUCUGAUAUUAUAAAACCUCUGGAUGGAUUUGUUGUGUGAGAGGUAAUACGAGGUUCAUGCUAACAUCUCAAUGAACAGGUCCGGUGGCUGAAGACAUGUUCCACUGGCAAGCAACUAUCAUGGGACCCCCUGACAGCCCAUAUGCCGGUGGAGUAUUUUUGGUCACCAUUCAUUUCCCCCCGGAUUAUCCUUUCAAGCCUCCGAAGGUUUCUUUCAAAACUAAGGUCUUCCACCCGAAUAUCAACAGCAACGGAAGUAUUUGCCUUGAUAUCCUUAAAGACCAAUGGAGCCCUGCCCUUACCAUAUCCAAGAACCGUCAGAGUUACGCUUAGUCCGGAAAACCCAUUUGGAACCCACCACAUUGUAUGCUGGAUUCGGAGGAACGAGAGUCCAAGUCCCAUUAUGUAGUAGGGCAUUGAACUCGUCAGACAUCGCGGAGCGCCAUCAGGGAUCUUUCAUGGCCUGAGUAACACAUGUCGGUUCCAAGGCAUCAGAUGUGGAGAGUGUGGUGAUAUGGGUGGUCCAAUAUGUUGCGCCCACAGGUCCCUGGAUCGAAACCAGGCUCUGAUACUAUAUGAGUAAAGGGUGUAUCGUUGAAAGUGUUGCGAAACUUUAGGUGUAAUCCUAAAGUUUUCUCCACACGAUUCGAAAAUAUUGCAAAAGUGACUUUAAAUGGUACUUUUGACUUCAGGGUAGAACCUUCUAGGUUUAGGGUUUUGAAAAAUAAACUAAAAUGCAGAAAAGACUAUAAUACCCUUAAGAAUAAGGACGGGUGGCCGCAUCUGUUGAAGCCAAAAAAAGAAGAAGGAGUUGGGGGAGUUGUUCGAAAAUUUUAAACCCAGAAGGCACUACUCUACUCUCUCUCCAUUCCCUCUCUGUUGCGAAUCGAUUCCCCCAUUACAAUUUUGUCUUCUAUAUUUUCCUCUUGCAAAAUCUUAUUAAGCAUAAUGACAUCUUCAUCAUCUUCGUAUCUUCGUUUGCUGCUUCUGAAGAUAUGCAGGUAAGACUUUUUUAUAUCUCUCGCCGAUAAUCUAGUCGUCGAUUUCUCUAUUCAUACCCCUUCGUCUUUACUUUCUCGUUUCGAAUUUCAUGUUUCUGCAUCGAGAUUAAACUGAUUUCGUCACAUUUAUUCGAAUCAUUUUUGUAAAAAAAAAAAGGGUUUGGGAUCGAAAAAUGAAAGACAAAGUUUUUUCGAACCGACGAGUGAUAUUGGCAUCGAUUUACAGUCACACGGACAUAUUUCUCGAAUUGGUAAAACUGGAAGUCAAGCGGUGAGACAAUUGGAAAAUGAAGUGGUGAGACAGUCAUACCUGUUUUACUAGUUUCAUCAAACUCAUCAGACCCAUGAAGCAAAAUGGUCGAACGGCGCAUGGUCAGACUAGUGAAAGUGGUUAGACGGUUAUAUCGAUCAUACCAGAGAGAUCUGACCAGUUUGACAUCAAAUUGGUCAAACUGGUCACAUCUCUCUGGUGUGACUGGUAUGACCGAUUUUAUGUAGGUUAAUUUUAUAACAAAACUGAUGAUGGGAUUUAAUUUUCUUGUUGCAUAUUCCUUUUGUUUAUGUUUUUAAGGACAUUCAACAUGCUACAAAGAUCUCGACGAAGUGUUAUUCAUUUCAGAUCUCUCAGAAAGACUUUAACAAGCGAAGAAUGGGUAUACUUCAACAAAGAGUCUCAGUUUUGUCGUAUUUUUCAUAUGAGAUAUGAAGAGACAUUGAAGAUGGGGUGUCUAUCCUUAUAUAUCACAGAUUAUGAUUAGAAGGAGAGGAGAACGAGUUAUGGUUUGUUGUAAAUGACAUGCCCAUCAGAUAUUCAAUCCAAGAGCAUAUCAUUAUCUC